AUUGAUUGGUUGGUUGGGAAGAAUACCAUACGGAAAACAACAUUCGGUGGAAACCGGUGAAAACCACGAGAAGAAGAUGUUUUGAAGUUUCAAAAAAAAAUUGAAAAAAUUACGGGAUGUUAAGAGGAUGAUGUUUUAUUGCCACACAAAAUUUCGAGUUGAAACACUUUACGAGAUGUGAGCUAUGAAAAAGAAAAAAUCAGCGCUGAAUAGUGUUGAACAAUAAUGUCACUAUUCAAAGCUAAAUUUGUCUUUUUCAUAGCUCACAUCUCAUAAUGUGUUUCGACUUGAAAUUUUUCAUGUCAAUAAAACAUCACCCUCUUAACAUCC
rnacentral:rRNA from 1 species